AGUGAACGCUGGCGGUAGGCCUAACACAUGCAAGUCGAACGGCAGCACAGUAAGAGCUUGCUCUUACGGGUGGCGAGUGGCGGACGGGUGAGGAAUACAUCGGAAUCUACUUUUUCGUGGGGGAUAACGUAGGGAAACUUACGCUAAUACCGCAUACGACCUACAGGUGAAAGCAGGGGAUCUUCGGACCUUGCGCGAUUGAAUGGGCCGAUGUCGGAUUAGCUAGUUGGCGGGGUAAAGGCCCACCAAGGCGACGAUCCGUAGCUGGUCUGAGAGGAUGAUCGGCAACACUGGAACUGAGACACGGUCCAGACUCCUACGGGAGGCAGCGGUGGGGAAUAUUGGACAAUGGGCGCAAGCCUGAUCCAGCCAUACCGCGUGGGUGAAGAAGGCCUUCGGGUUGUAAAGCCCUUUUGUUGGGAAAGAAAAGCAGCAGGUUAAUACCCCGCUGUUCUGACGGUACCCAAAGAAUAAGCACCGGCUAACUUCGUG
rnacentral:rRNA from 1 species